ensembl:lncRNA
GCCAUUUUUAAUGAACCAUCAGGCCAUGUUUGGAAACGGACACCGAUUGCCAUUGCGUUACACCCCUUCUAAGCAUGAACAAGCAUAGAUCAGAAACUGUGCUUUUGAUCUGCUUCACUACAUUGUUCUAUGACAGGUUGUAAAUUUCUGCAUCCACUAACAAUACUUUUGUAGAAAUUGUACUUUUGGCUUGCUAUUUGACGGCAAAAACAAGCCUUUCCAAUUUGUGUCAACAAAUUCCGAGCGUGGUAUUUCCGUAAUGUCACUGAAACAGCUGCAAAUCUAGAGCAAUGGAUGACCAUGUACAGUAGGGCGCUGUGAUAUGUAGUGCUGCAUCCAGCUAGCAUCUCCCCAGGCUCUCUGCAACACAUAGAAGACAUGCGAGAACAAUAAUGGCCAACGCUGUACGAUGAAAGAUAAAUCUAUCUCAUUAAUCCUUUAUUCUUCCAGGCUGGGAGGCACAUCUAACGAAACAAGCUCUAUUGUCAUCCUCUGGAAUAUUUCACACAGAUGGUCAGAGAGGAGGGGCUGCAGUGGGAUGUCAAUGUGUGCAUCAUUAGACGAUGCAGAACCUAGCAGAGAAAGACAGACUCUAGGAUGAUGAUGCUUUCAUUACCAAAUGAUCAGUGUUGGCUUUGCAUCGACGUGAGAACAAAAAGCAUUCUUUCGAUUUACUUUGAUAAGCCCCGUCAUCUUAUUUCGAAGUAAUCAGGCUCGCUAUGUUUAUGAAAUACGGUGAUGACGAGUAGGGUUUUGUUUUAAAGAAGGCAAACAUGAAAGUGUCAGCAGCUACGGGUAACUGUCCUGCUUCCGAUUUGUUUCUCAGCAGGGGUUUAUAUAGUGUGUACAGAAUGACAAAAGAACGAUAAAUAGAUGGUCGGAGGUUACAUGGUGAGAGAAAGGCCGAGAAGUGCGAGUGCGUUCUGGCGAACAAAAGCCACCGAUUCUGUGCAGCUGAAAAGCAAGUGGAGUCCAUAAAGUACUUGAUGUGCAUAUAAACAUUUUAUCAGCCUGGGAGGCCCUGUAGAGAGGUUAAGCAGAGUGUGAGCGGUGCUCGGUAAUGACCGGUCCCUCUUCACUGAAUGUGUUGAGGAAUAAAGAGCACAUUCAUUAGUUCAUUCGGACCAAAGUCGGAAAUUCUGUCAGCACUUUUCGUCCUGUUCCGUGGACUAAAUGUAUUGCAAUUAUGUGAUCACACAAGAAAUGUCUACUCCCAGGCAGGUUUCAGAAUCGUGUGAGUUAUAAGGCAAUAAAGUGGCACACCCACUCGCUUAUUAGUGGUAAAGUGAGCUCCGGUGUUUAAAGGCCAUCUAUGAUCUAGGGUCACUGACACGCUCUUAAUCGUAAUCAGGUCUAUGUGCAUUCUGCUUUUCAGGCUGUUAACUAUACAGUGUUAAAAAAAAAAAAAAAGUUACAGUAUUGUAAACAGCGUGUGUAGACUGCUAAUGGGACCGUCUUGGGAGGAUGGGAGUUUUACUAACUAGCAAACAAUAUGUCAGAUUAGAAGUUCCUCUGUCGGUCGUAUUUCCAUUUCUAUCCACAACCUGGAAUCCUUUGCGCUUUGGAUCGAAUUCAUUUUUCAUGCUGAAAAGGUGAAAAGGACAUUAAAGUUUAACCUGACGUCCUCUCCACUUACGGACCGUUCAUGAAAAUCUAGCUGAGAAAUUAACAUCCUGUAGCAUGUUAUGUCUGAACGUUCUCCUCUCCCGCUUUAUUGUUUGGGAAUGUGCCCUACUCUACCCUGUGGGGUAAAUGCAACAAGACAGCACGGCAAACCAAACUGAUUAAAAAUUCAAUUACCGUGUCUCUGAAUUCAUUUGAGACGCAAGGUGGAUAUCUGAUACACUUUCAACCUCCGAGAUUUUUCCUUUAGAUAAGAACCCAGGAUUACAGGGCCUGCAUGAGUGCUAAGUCUUGGCUCGAACCUGAUGAAACACAGGCUUUAGAAAUUAAAGUACACACUGCAAAUCCAUGAUUGUCUUAGCGAUAAAUUCUGAAGUAGAUUUCUGGCAAUUUAACGUGAGUACAACUACACACCCAACCACAUACACACACACACUCUCACACAAAAGCCUGCUCGAUGCUUAUUUCUACUUUUAAUCUCGUUGGAUUUUCUGAGCAGACCUCUGACAUCUUAAAGUCAUUAGCAGACAAGAGAUCAUAUAUGUGCAUGCUUCCUUUUCAGUCCGCAUAUAAAAGUACGUCAUAUAAAAGUGCCCUUUGUCUGAAGUUUGAUAGUCGGGCCUCAGCUAAAAAUCCGAAACGGGAGGUUCGGAGGAGAAAAGCAAACAACGUUGGAAGAUGCUGGCUAAGCGCGGCGAAGAGCGCGGCUGGGAGAGCACACUGGAUGUCAGUCCUGUCAAGCCUUCAUUUCACCUGUCAGCGCGGUGACUGACGUACAAGCACUUGUUUGCCCUUCCUGUGGUCUUCUCUUGCGUGUCCUGACAGGCGCAGGCCUCCGGAGCGGCGCACUUCGCCUCCUGCUACAAGGUCUCUCUCCUCCGGCUCUGCUGUCAGCCUUUGAUCAUGCCGAGACUCUCUGUUCUCCGCUCAGACGGACGACAGCAGCUCUCCCGCCCCACCGUGGAAUCCUUCCUGCCCCGGCCAGGUGACAGCAGAGCGUGGAAGAACCCGGUGAACCCGGAGUAAACCCAUACUGACACGGGGCAAACAGGAAGAGAAAUUCCAUGCAGACCCAAGUUCGGGAUCAAACUGAGGACUGGAGGAACCGGAGGCAGCAAUGCUGUCAGCUGCAACACCACAUCACCAAUUAUCUCUGGACCACUAUCUGCAAAACAGCAUCAAUGAUCGCCACCAUAUUUGACAUGUUUACAGUCAAUUUUUUGCCCAUAGUGUUAACACACAAAUAAAACACAAAUUAUACUUCCAUUUGUUCAGGAAACAUCCCAAAAGUUCACUUGCUGUAUUUUUUUGUAAUGUUCUCAGGAAUGUCUUCUUUUUUUGCAGCUAUUCUAAACAGCCUGUUAUCAUGAAGGUGG